rnacentral:rRNA from 1 species
UACGGAGGAUGCAAGCGUUAUCCGGAUUUAUUGGGGGUAAAGGGUGCGUAGGCGGCCUUUUAAGUCAGUGGUGAAAUCUUGCCGCUUAACGGUAAAAUUGCCAUUGAUACUGAAAGGCUUGAGUACAGUUGAGGUAAGCGGAAUGUCUAGUGUAGCGGUGAAAUGCGUAGAGAUUACACAGAACACCAAUUGCGAAGGCAGCCUACUAAACUGUUACUGACGCUGAUGCACGAAAGCGUGGGGAGCGAACAGG